CCCGACUCCUCCUGGACCUCCUCCAACAACACCAGGUCCGCUCCCGACUCCUCCUGGACCUCCUCCAAUUAUCGUAGGUCCCGUUCCAAAUCCUCCUGGACCUCCUCCACCAACCCCGGUGCCACCUCCUGCGCCACCAGAUCUCAUGUAGAAAUUGAAAUGGCAUAGGAGGCACCUUUGGAUGGUUUUGGUGUUGCCCCUACUGCUGGAGCCGUUCCUCCUGCUCCAACCCUGCCUACUGGUCCUGCACUGGUUGGACCACCUUCUACUCCCGUCCGUCUUCCUCCUGUCCUACGUCGGCCAUCUGUCCCUCCAUCAGGACGUGCUUCUUCCUCUCCUUCACCAGGUGUAUCGCCUCUCGGGACUCCUUCAGGUAAAGCACAGAAGACCAGCGGAGGUUUAUUAAUGAUUGGAAAUUAAAAGGUGUAGGAACAGUCAAUUUCAAAAGUGGCAGUGGUUCACCUGGUGGUUUGAGAGGUUUGGCACCUGGUAGGACCCCACUUGCCCCUGCAAAUAAUAGACCUGGCAGUUUCUUCCGGUUGCGAUGUCUAAUAGUAAGUACACUGGACUCUCUAACGUCAUACCAGUUGGUUGGACAGGUCCUCUUCCAGCUGGAGUGUGAGAAGAUAAGAAAUAGAAAUGUCAUGCAGGCUUUGUGUGAUCUUUUCAAAUGUUGUCAACUUACCGGGUGCAGCUCCUGUGGAUCCUGUAAGACAUCACAAUAACAACAACCACGCAGGCACACGUAAGACAUAGACCACCAAGACAAACAAGCACAAUCUUUAAUGUGAACACUGACCUGGAAGAGGAGUCCCACCAAGACCUGUUUCAGAAAACAACAACAACAGUGUAAACAACAGACUUUGAUGAUUCGUCAAAUAAAAAUUGUACAUGUGUGACAAUUACCUGGUCUUCCUCCAAGGAUAGGAAUUUCUGUCCCUCUCAGACCAUCUCCAUCAGCUCCUGCACCAAAUGGUCUCCCACCGACCCUCCCGCUGACUCCUGUUGCAAUAGCGGUGUAUUCAUGUGCACACUUUUAUCCAACAGCACACAUUGUUUCACAUGUAAAACCACUUUCACUCAGUCAAAACAAAUGAUUUGAAAGGAUUUUCCUUGUUUCAAUAUUAGUGUGACCCCCUUGAUUAGUGUUUGAAGGCUGUGGAUCUUCAGACUUUACAAUGCAAUGUUGUAUCUCUACAAAACGAGGUUGCAUUUCAACACACCUUCUCCUGCAGCAAUGCCAGAGCCCUCUAUCACACCGCCCGGACCAUCCUCACCUGGAAUAGGACGGAUUGUUACAAUUCAAACUGUUGGUCUUAAUAAAAAUGCGAUGAUUACAUGGA